UAGUUUGAUUCUGGCUCAGGAUGAACGCUGGCGGCAUGCCUAAUACAUGCAAGUCGAACGGAGUGAAGCCUUCGGGUUUCAUUCAGUGGCGAACGGGUGAGUAAUACGCAGGGAACCUGGCCAUGGCAGGGGGAUACACUCUGGAAACGGAGCAUAAGACCCCAUAGGCAGUAAGGCGGCAUCGCCUUACUGUUAAAGAAAGCUGAAAGGCUUUGGCGAUGGAUGGACCUGCGGUGCAUUAGCUUGUUGGUGAGGCAACGGCUUACCAAGGCGAUGAUGCAUAGCCGGCCUGAGAGGGCGGACGGCCACACUGGGACUGAGACACGGCCCAGACUCCUGCGGGAGGCAGCAGUAGGGAAUUUUCGUCAAUGGGCGCAAGCCUGAACGAGCAAUGCCGCGUGAGUGAGGAAGGUCUUCGGACUGUAAAGCUCUGUUGCCGGGGAAAAAGGGGAAAUGCAGGAAAUGGCAUUUCAUGGAUGGUACCCGGCCAGAAAGCCACGGCUAACUACGUGCCAGCAGCCGCGGUAAUACGUAGGUGGCGAGCGUUAUCCGGAAUGAUUGGGCGUAAAGGGUGCGCAGGCGGUCUGUUAAGUCUGAAGGCAAAGGGAUGAGCUCAACUCAUUUAUGAUUCAGGAACUGGCAGACUUGAGGACAGGAGAGGGCGGUGGAACUCCAUGUGUAGCGGUAAAAUGCGCAGAGAUAUGGAAGAACACCAGUGGCGAAGGCGGCCGCCUGGCCUGUGACUGACGCUGAGGCACGAAAGCGUGGGGAGCAAAUAGGAUUAGAUACCCUAGUAGUCCACGCCGUAAACGAUGAGGAGCAGGUGUUGGGAGUGAAAUCUCAGUGCCGAAGCCAACGCAGUGACUCCUCCGCCUGGGGAGUAUGCACGCAAGUGUGAAACUCAAAGGAAUUGACGGGGGCCCGCACAAGCGGUGGAGUAUGUGGUUUAAUUCGAAGCAACGCGAAGAACCUUACCAGGUUUUGACAUCGGAUGCGAAGGCGCAGAGAUGCGCUGGAGGCUAUCAUCCAGACAGGUGGUGCAUGGUUGUCGUCAGCUCGUGUCGUGAGAUGUUCAGUUAAGUCUGGCAACGAGCGCAACCCCCGUGGUAUGUUACUAACGCAUUUGGGCGAGGACUCAUAUCAGACUGCCGGUGACAAACCGGAGGAAGGCGGGGAUGACGUCAAAUCAUCAUGCCCCUUAUGGCCUGGGCUACACACGUACUACAAUGGCGUCUACAGAGGGAAGCGACCCUGAGAAGGGAAGCGAAACCGGAAAAGGGCGUCCCAGUUCGGAUUGAAGUCUGCAACCCGACUUCAUGAAGAUGGAAUCGCUAGUAAUCGCGGAUCAGCAUGCCGCGGUGAAUACGUUCCCGGGCCUUGUACACACCGCCCGUCAAACCAUGGAAGCCGGCAACGCCCGAAGCCGGUGGCAUAACCUUUUAGGAGUGAGCCGUCGAAGGCGGGGCCGAUGACUGGGGUUAAGUCGUAACAAGGUAUCC
rnacentral:rRNA from 1 species